GAUGAACGCUGGCGGCGUGCCUAAUACAUGCAAGUCGAGCGAACAGACGAGGAGCUUGCUCCUCUGACGUUAGCGGCGGACGGGUGAGUAACACGUGGAUAACCUACCUAUAAGACUGGGAUAACUUCGGGAAACCGGAGCUCAUACCGGAUAAUAUAUUUAACCGCAUGGUUCAAUAGUGAAAGACGGUUUUGCUGUCACUUAUAGAUGUAUCCGCGCCGCAUUAGCUAGUUGGUAAGGUAACGGCUUACCAAGGCAACGAUGCGUAGCCGACCUGAGAGGGUGAUCGGCCACACUGGAACUGAGACACGGUCCAGACUCCUACGGGAGGCAGCAGUAGGGAAUCUUGCGCAAUGGGCGAAAGCCUGACGGAGCAACGCCGCGUGAGUGAUGAAGGUCUUCGGAUCGUAAAACUCUGUUAUUAGGGAAGAACAAAUGUGUAAGUAAAUAUGCACGUCUUGACGGUACCUAAUCAGAAAGCCACGGCUAACUACGUG
rnacentral:rRNA from 1 species